rnacentral:rRNA from 1 species
UACGAAGGGGGCUAGCGUUGUUCGGAAUCACUGGGCGUAAAGCGCACGUAGGCGGAUCGUUAAGUCGGGGGUGAAAUCCCGAGGCUCAACCUCGGAACUGCCUUCGAUACUGGCGAUCUUUGAGUCCGGGAGAGGUGAGUGGAACUCCGAGUGUAGAGGUGAAAUUCGUAGAUAUUCGGAAGAACACCAGUGGCGAAGGCGGCUCACUGGCCCGGCACUGACGCUGAGGUGCGAAAGCGUGGGGAGCAAACAGG